CAUGCCUUUCUCUCAUGCCGCCGCAGAUGGCCUUUCUUCCUUUCUGCCCCCCCCCCCCCCCCCCCCCCCCCCCCCCCCNGGGGGUUAGCCUGUGUCUACUUCAAAGAAUCUGCAGCCCAGCUUGGCUCUUACUCCUUUGCCUGUGUCUUCACUAGACUGCUUAUUGUAUACGAUGUAUUCUGGGGAGAGUAUCUCAUUUUUGACUUCUCGGUGACUAGCUUCAGGAACACAGGGUUGAAUGGUGAAUGAAUGAAUGAAUGUCUUCCUUAUCAAUUUCAUCCUCCACACGGUGUUAAAAUACUCUAAUUUGCAUUACCUAAACCUGUUCAGAAUGCAUAUGUGACCUGCUUCCUGAAUUAGGCUAUCUUAUGACCAGACCCCUUGGAAUGAAUCUUCAGUUGCCUGUUACAUUUUCGUGAACUUGUGUGUGGUUUGAAACCAUUCCUUUUCCUUCUGAAAGCUUGGAAGGAAACUUGGAUAUUCAGGAGAAGAAAGUAGAUGCCCCCAUCUUCCACCUCCCCACAGGCCCUGGGGGGUCCCUGCCCUGGCUUUGCACACAAGGGCAUCCUUGAGCCUGUCCCAAGGGAGGAGAAAGGGAGGGGCACAGAGGCAGUCAACUGGUGGCCUCCAGGUAGGCUUUUCCUGAUAGGGAAGGAGGUGGCAGUAGAGAGAAUGGCCACUCUGUGAGCAUGGACCCAGCUGGCACUGGGACAGAACCAGACUCGGACAACCCAGUUCCUGUGAGAAAGAACAAGUCUUCGCACACACACCUGAAAAGAGUUCUAAUCUGUCCCCUAACUCUUGCCAAGGCCCCUCUCCAGAGCCUCUGCUGCUCUUGAUGCUGGCAGGUGGCAAAAUGAAAGCAGCAAGCUCUCCCCGUUAUGGCACUGCCACCCAAUUCCACAAAGCGCCCUUGAGCUAUAACCUGUUGACAGCUGAAUCAUCAAAAUAAAUAGCGAUUAUUUUCCCAGCAACAAAAAGAUCAUAGUCUCAAAGAUUCGGUAUUUCUUCAUAUGAAAAGAAGCAAAGGGCAUCAUUAAGGUCUUCGGAUGCCCUGUCUACAGCUCUGUGAUGGCAUCUAAUACUCCAAGGCCUAAAUGUCUUUAAAAGUUUAAGUGACUAUUCAACUCCUGGAUCGAGAGCAGCUUGGGGAAAGGACCUGGCCUCCUCUUCUGUGUCCCCAGAGCCCAGUACAAUACAAGAUGCAAAGUCACAACGCAACUUAUGUCUGUCCAGGGAAUGGCAGAUGACACAGGGAAGUGUGUGUGUGUGGUGGUGGUGGGGGGGGACAAACAUGGACCCGUCCACAAAGCCUAGAAUACCAAACUAGGGAUCGCUCAUUCAGCAAGCUCUGCUGGACUUCCUUUUGUCCCUUCUCUUGGUAGGCAGUACUCACAGAUCACCACCAGGAUGAGGCUUGGGUUCACCUCAGCCACAGACUAACUGGACCACUGUGGGCAUGUAUGUUCUUUAAGCUUUCAGGGCUUCGGUGUCCUUAUUAGAACAAAGAGGACACUGGUUUCCAGUUCUAACCACCACUGUCUUCCAAUUCAACGAAGUAUACACCUAGCAGAAAACAUGGAUUUAAGGAGUGUUCAGAAAAGAUGUGUAGAAUAGCCAUGUACAUAUGGUAACUGCUAUACCUCCUGUGGGGCUGCAUGGGACACUGGACAGGCCCUGAGCAGUGGCUGUCACAUGCAAGAUACACACUGUUCUAAGAUGAAAUGAUUAAUUGGUUCUCACGGGAGUGGGUCCCAAAGCAGAGUAGGGCCUGUCUCAUGGGGACAAAAACAUCUUAAUGUGGCCACUGGGGUUCUCCACUGCCUCCUAGCACUUCCAAGUGGAGCCUUUCAUCUUGCAAGCCACAGUUGGAGUUACUAAGUGUCCCCAGGAAUGCUUAUAGCAGAAAGCCAGUGGAAUCCUCCUGGAGGGAGUUGGAGAGAGAAAGGCUGGGCUGGCCAAGGACACUGUGCUCAGAGAUUGGAGCCACAGGGCUGGAUUAGACUCUGCUUUCCACUGUGUUCCCCUUAAAGAUCUGCAGAAAGAGUGGGUCCCCAGCCGUGAAUGCUGAACAGGUCCAGGCAGCGAUCAUAAUAAGCUGCUAUGUGAGCCAACCUAGUAGAAAAGACACAGAAUGCCCUUACGUCGGCUCCCUGUUUAAUUCCAGCUGAGCUGAAUCUCAGGGCGAGCAGGAGUGAGGCGCAGGAGCCCAUGAGGCCAUCCUUGAAUUGUGGCUGAGCCUGGGAACCGUUUGGAGCCUGGAGGCUCUGGGUCAGCCAGGGCUGUAGCAGUUGGCCGGGUCAUCAGGUUGGCUGGUCCAGGUCUGGAGGGUUUGACCACCAUCUUCCUAACCCCACCCUGCAGCUUAGAUGUUCCUUCCCUUCUCCUUCACUUCAUGGUCCCAGGGUUCUGGAAUAUGUGGCUUUCUCUGCAUUAGGAGGGCUCACAGGGAAAGAUGGUCAUGUGACCCACCCCUCUCCGAUUCUAUGGCUUUCUCCCCGAAUCCUUUGACAAAGCACACGGGUAGGGGGGAAGGAUUUUGACCCCAUGUGGGUAUGAUGAACCCAACUUCUCCAUAUAGCCUCUGUCUUGAAGCAUGAGGGAGGGUUUGUGGCAUAACCAGGCCCAGGAAGGACACAGAUAAAGGAGAGAACCUCAGGUUUAUGAGACGCGUUGUCAGCUGUGGCUGCACGAUCAGACCACUCCAGAACCUUCCUCACUGCUUACCUUCUGUGGAAGAGCCCCAGUCCUGGCAUCUUUACCCUGUGUUGUGCGGUUCAAAUGGAAUGGCGCACGGGGUGGGGGUGGAUUUGUGUAACAGGAGAGCCCUCUGCCAACUCUCCAUCAACUCUGCCAUCUCUACCAACUCCCCAGAAAAACACAAAAAAAGGAAUGUCCGUGUAUUAAUUAUUCCAGGGGGGUCUGGUUCUCCUCUUAAGAGUGGCCAAUGCCAGGAGGGAGGAAAUGGGAGGUGGAAGGAGAUGUAGGGCAGGCAGGAAUGGACCUCCUCUUCUCGGGAUGGCAGCCUCUUAAGGCCUUUGCCGUGUGUCAUAGGUAUGUGGGCUGCACGCACAUGGUCCUCUCCAGUAAUGGACUUGGAAUUAUUUUGCAAAGUUUUGCUCACGUGGUUCCCUAUUACAUGUAACUGGAACAAUGAGAAUGGUCCCAAACAGAAUGUGAGCCAGUGAGUGCCCCCUUCUGGAAAUGAUUUCAGACACAUUUAAGUUAAAAAUAUUUUUUGUGCCUUAGGCAGUGCCUGGCACAUGGUAACCACUCAAUACGUAUUUAUUUGCUAAAUGAAAGGUUGAAUGAACUGGUCUCUGAAGGUUGCUCCAACCCUUUCAAUUGGAUUAAAUUUAGCCAACUCACAGGAGAGGUUUUAGUCCAGCAUAAACAGAACGCACUUCUUACUUUUAGCCUCUCAGAGAAAGAAUGUGUUUCAAACCAGACCACCCAGCUGGUCCAAGUAUCCCGGAAGCUGCAUGGAUUUUAAAUGUUCAGAUUUGCCAAAGCAACUCACGCAGAGUUCACGCGUCAUUUCCGGAUAGAAAUUCACUGAAACAUAAGGAAGGAGGACCUAGCAUAUACAUUUAGUAAUCAGCCUGGUAAUGGAUGAAAAUCAGUAGAAACCAAACAGGUUCUAGAAUUUCUGGAAGGUCCCUUAGGCCAUGUAUACGUUUAUUAGAAAGUUGUCUUUUUAUGAUGAAAAGUAGAAGACCCACGUACCAUAACUUUUUACCUAUAAGCACAUGAUUUGCAAAACCUAGAUUGCAUCUGGUUUUAGUUUUCCACAACUAACACUUUCCUAACUAUUCCCUUCAGCUUGAGCAUAGGUUGAACAAUUAAUUACCAUGUGCCUAGCCUUGUGCCGGUUGCUUGGGGAACACUGCAAUCUUUUUAUUGACUCAGGAAAACAAGAACAUUCAUCAUCAGCUAAGUUAUUUAACAACAGAGUGUGAGAAGCAACGUUCAGAUGACAUAUUGGAUAUGAGCACUAAAGGACCAGAAUGUCCUCAGUAAUUACCCAGGACCAGGAGCACUGCUAUAAGAUGAACCUUCUUGCCCAUACCAAACAGAUGCCAAGGCAUUUAGUGAGCGGAAGGAUUGCCUAACAGUAG
rnacentral:lncRNA from 1 species